GCUCCGCCCCAGGCGGCCCGGGAAUUCGAUUAAGCGUGGGGAGCAACAGGAUUAGAUACCCUGGUAGUCCACGCCCUAAACGAUGUCGACUAGUUGUUCGGUGAGGAGACUCAUUGAGUAACGCAGCUAACGCGUGAAGUCGACCGCCUGGGGAGUACGGUCGCAAGAUUAAAACUCAAAGGAAUUGACGGGGACCCGCACAAGCGGUGGAUGAUGUGGAUUAAUUCGAUGCAACGCGAAAAACCUUACCUACCCUUGACAUGCCAGGAACCUUGCUGAAAGGUGAGGGUGCCCGAAAGGGAGCCUGGACACAGGUGCUGCAUGGCUGUCGUCAGCUCGUGUCGUGAGAUGUUGGGUUAAGUCCCGCAACGAGCGCAACCCUUGUCAUUAAUUGCCAUCAUUUAGUUGGGCACUUUAAUGAGACUGCUGGUGACAAACCGGAGGAAGGUGGGGAUGACGUCAAGUCCUCAUGGCCCUUAUGGGUAGGGCUUCACACGUCAUACAAUGGUCGGUACAGAGGGUUGCCAAGCCGCGAGGUGGAGCCAAUCCCAGAAAGCCGAUCGUAGUCCGGAUUGUAGUCUGCAACUCGACUGCAUGAAGUCGGAAUCGCUAGUAAUCGCGGAUCAGAAUGCCGCGGUGAAUACGUUCCCGGGUCUUGUACACACCGCCCGU
rnacentral:rRNA from 1 species